ACUACGGGUGGCAGCAGUGGGGAAUAUUGGACAAUGGGGGAAACCCUGAUCCAGCGACGCCGCGUGAGUGAAGAAGUAUUUCGGUACGUAAAGCUCUAUCAGCAGGAAAGAAAAUGACGGUACCUGACUAAGAAGCCCCGGCUAACUACGUGCCAGCAGCCGCUGUAAUAAGUAGGGGGCAAGCGUUAUCCGGAUUUACUGGGUGUAAAGGGAGCGUAGACGGCAGCGCAAGUCUGGAGUGAAAUGCCGGGGCCCAACCCCGGAACUGCCCUGGAAACUGUGAAGCUGGAGUGCAGGAGAGGUAAGCGGAAUUCCUGGUGUAGCGGUGAAAUGCGUAGAUAUCAGGAGGAACACCGGCGGCGAAGGCGGCUUACUGGACUGUAACUGACGUUGAGGCUCGAAGGCGUGGGGAGCAAACAGGAUUAGAUACCCGUGUAGUC
rnacentral:rRNA from 1 species